rnacentral:rRNA from 1 species
GAUGAACGCUGGCGGCGUGCCUAAUACAUGCAAGUCGAGCGAACAGAUAAGGAGCUUUCUCCUUGGACGUUAGCGUCGGACGGGUGAGUAACACGUGGAUAACCUACCUAUAAGACAUGGAUAACUUCGGCGAACCGGAGUUAAUACCGGCUAACAUUUGCGGCCUCACGGUUCAAAAGUAAAAGAUGUGUUUGCUCUAACUAAUUGACGGAGCCGCGCCGUAUUAGCUAGUUGGUAAGGGAACGGCUUUCCAAGGCAACGAUACGUAGCCGACCUGAGAGGGGGACGGGCACCACUGGAACUGGGACCGGGCCCAGACUCCUACGGGAGGCACAGGGAGGGAAUCUCCGGCAUUGGGCAAAAGCCGGCCGGGGAACGCCCGGUGAAUGGAGGAAGGGUUCCGGCUCGUAAAACUCUGUAAUUAGGAAAGACCAAUCGUGUAAGUAAAUGGACACGUAUUGACGGUACCGAAUGAGAAAGCCACGGCUAACUACGUG